rnacentral:lncRNA from 10 species
CAUUUACUCUCCCAGAUGUGGUUCCAUAUAGGGCUAUGAAACAUUUCAAAGAGUGAUCGCUCACAGAGGAGUGCGUUCUUAGGCUUUCUCUGUGCUGGGAGUGGGGCCGGUGGCCUGAGCCUGACAGCCCAUCCAGGCUGUGGUCAAAUUUGCUGACAAGCAGCCCAAAUCUGCCCAGAGCAUCUGCUCACAUCUGGGAUUGUGACUCAUCUGCCUCUGUCUCCCCCAGCACUAUUCACUCACUCCUGCAGGCCUGAGCAUGUAAGCCCCACGGUGCCCAGGGCCCAGCGCCCAGACUUGUCCCUCCACCCAAGCACCCAUCACGGCUUGUCCUUAUCUCCAACACUGCCUGCCCCUCCCAUUUAGACUUGGUCUGCUUUCCCAGCUCCAGGUUCAGGGCAAACCAUGCUUAGACCUUCUUGGACUCAGCCUGAGCUAUCAUAAGAGGUUCCCAGGCUAAAACACAUGCACAGUCUCCUGCACAGUGGUGUCUGUUCUGGCCCUUUAAAUUUAGCAGAUCCACACUCCCACCACGCCCAGCUGGCCCACCAGAGUGAGCCACAGGCAACACAUGUUCUAAACCAACCCUGUUCACCCUGGACCUACUAUUUUUGCACUCACCUCCCUGGUUCUCAGAUUUCUGGCUCCGGUUCCCAGCUGCCAUAGCCCCUUUGGUCCCUUCACUUUGGUGACCCUUUAGGCUUCCCUUUUUAGACCACAGCUGUCACAUGUUUCUGACUCAACUUGCUUCUGCCAUGCCAGCGUCACCCCUGGUCUCAGGAAGCCAGGCACCCCGAAUGGAGAGACCAGCUGAAGCCGCGGCAGAAGAACAAAAAUUGUGAAGAUUUAAUGGACAUUUAUCAGUUCCCAAAAUUAAUAUUUUUAUAAUUUCUUACGCCUGUCUUUACUGCAAUCUCUGAACAUAAAUUGUGAAGAUUUCAUGGAUAUUUAUCACUUCCCCAAUCAAUACUCUUAUAAUUUCUUAUGUUUGUCUUUAAUCUCUUAAUCCCGUCAUCUUUGUAAGCUGAGGAUGUAUGUCACCUCAGGACCCUGUGAUGAUUGCAUUAACUGUACAGAUUGUAAAACGUGUGUUUGAACAAUAUGAAACCAGUGCACCCUGAAAAAGGACAGAAUAACAGUGAUUUUCAGGGAACAAAAGAGAUAAUCAUAAGGCCUGACUGCCUGCGGGGUUGGGCAGAACACAGCCAUAUUUUUCUUCUCGCAGAAAGCCUAUAGAUGGAUGUGUGAGUAGGAGAAAUAUUGCUGAAUUCUUUUCCCAGCAAGGAAUAUUAAUAAUUGAUAGCCCUGGGGAAGGAAUGCAUUCCUGGGGGGAGGUCUAUGAACGCCUGCUCUGGGAUUGUCUGUCUUAUGUGGUUGAGAUAAGGACUGAAAUACACCCUGGUCUCCCGCAGUGCCCUCAGGCUUGCUAGGAUUGGGAAAUUCCAGCCUGGUGAAUUCUAGUCAGACCGGUUGUCUGCUCUCAAACUCUCUUUCCUGUUAAGAUGUUUAUCAAGACAAUGCAUGCACAGGAGGACAUGGACCCUCAUCAGUAAUUCUAAUUUUGCCCUUGCCUUGUGAUCUUUUAUUGCCCUUUGAAGCAUGUGAUCCUUGUGACCUACUCCCUGUUCGUACAUCUACUCUCCUUCUAAAAUCCUAAUAAAAACUUGCUGGUUUUGCAGCUCAGGGUCGCCAUCACGGUCCUACCAAUAUGUGAUGGCACCCCCAGAGGCCCAGCUGUAAAACUUCUCUCUUUGUACUCCUUCUCUUUAUUUCUCAGACCGGCC